ensembl:processed_transcript
AAACAAACGCAGUUUCUUAACGGUCGUUUAGCAAUCUUUUGUCCGUUUUGUCUCCUUAUUUCGGUCGCGAAAUGAAGAUAAAAUACGUGUUUGUUGAUAUAUUAACUGUAAAUGCCAUUCACAUAUGAACACUAACGUACCACAGUUAAAAUAAAAAGUCACGGUCAAAGGACAAAAGAGAGGGCUACGUUUUUUGGAGAAGCUGGACCAUUUUGACCUUAUCAUCUUCAGCGGUAUAAUUCAGCGAAAUCAAUGAUGUGCAGGGGUUUAAAAAGUACAGCUUGGGAAAUAUAAAGAUGAUGGUUAUUUUAAAGAAGAAGCCUGACACAUUGGAGACUUAACCAUCUUCAAAGGACAAUGCUACAAUUCAAGGAAGUCGACAGUUGUCUCAAUUAUACAGUUUUGCCUUUUUUUGUACCAUAGUCUAAGUUUGUAUUUUGAUUGCCUAGAAGGUAAUCGUUUACAUCACUUUGGGAGAGGGAGUGAAAACGGGCAGUCAAUCAGUGUCUGAAAAGAGAAAAUACACCCAAUACAGAGGCUAGUAAGGAGCACUUCCAGUGCACAAAGUUAAUGUCUUAACAGAUUACAAGAUCAAGUCAUUAACAUGAACCAAAAGGACAAACUCGUCAAAAGCAAAACUCACUUUCCCUUGGCUUUUCUUUCCCUUUUCAUCACGGGUCAUCACAGCAGAAUGAACUAGCAAUUACUGUGGUACAUGCUUUUUUCACCAGAUGCUCUCAUAUGCAGAAUUGACCAGAGCACCGGAAGGAAACCCACGCAAACAUGGGGUGAACAUGCAAACUCCACACCUGGCACACCUGAGACUCGAACCAGUGACCUUCUUGCUUUGAGGCAACAGUGAUGACCACGGAGCUACCAUGUGGCCCCUUUUGUAUUCACAUUAUAUUAGUGACAGUUUUCCCCUCAAG